UACGAAGGGGGCUAGCGUUGUUCGGAUUUACUGGGCGUAAAGCGCACGUAGGCGGAUUGGUCAGUUAGGGGUGAAAUCCUGGAGCUCAACUCCAGAACUGCCUUUAAUACUGCCAGUCUCGAGUCCGGAAGAGGUAAGUGGAACUCCUAGUGUAGAGGUGGAAUUCGUAGAUAUUAGGAAGAACACCAGUGGCGAAGGCGGCUUACUGGUCCGGUACUGACGCUGAGGCGCGAAAGCUAGGGAGCAAACGGGAUUGAGAUACC
rnacentral:rRNA from 1 species